GGCAAUGUUGCCUAGUGGUUUGAGCAUUGGACUACGGCUCUGGAGACCUAGGUUCGAAUCCCCGCUCGGCCA